GAUGAACGCUAGCGGCAGGCUUAAUACAUGCAAGUCGAGGGGCAGCACAGAUAGCAAUAUUGGGUGGCGACCGGCAAACGGGUGCGGAACACGUACACAACCUUCCUUUUGGUGGGGGAUAGCCUUUGGAAACGGAGAUUAAUACCCCAUAAGAUAUUGGGACCGCAUGGUUUUGAUAUUAAAGAUUUAUUGCCAGAAGAUGGGUGUGCGUAUGAUUAGGUAGUUGGUGAGGUAAAGGCUCACCAAGCCGACGAUCAUUAACUGGUGUGAGACAACGACCCGUCACACGGGCACUGAGACACGUGCCCGACUCCUACGGGAGGCAGCAGUAAGGAAUAUUGGUCAAUGGACGGAAGUCUGAACCAGCCAUGCCGCGUGGAGGAUGAAGGUCCUCUGGAUUGUAAACUUCUUUUAUAUGGGGCGAAAAAGGGCCAUUCUUGGUCAACUGACGGUACCAUAUGAAUAAGCACCGGCUAACUCCGUGCCAGCCGCCGCGGUAAAAC
rnacentral:rRNA from 1 species